CACAUACCAUGUCCAUUACAUAUAGAUUUGUUCUCUAGUUCAAGUUUAGCCUAAAAUUCACGAGUCAUUAUAUUUCACCUAGGUUCCAUCCAAAGUUAAAUGCCACACAUAUUUCAUCUAUACAACAAGGUUCAAAUGAUUACACUUAGUUUGGUUCGAGUUAUGUAAUAUUACAAAGUAUCUCGACAUAUCCAGGUAUCUUGGAUUUCGGCGUGAGAUUACUACUGAUGCUGCAUUAGAGCGUUUGGUUUAAUACAGUAAUGUAAUACUAGAUUAUAGUGUUUAUAGCAUUAAUAUGUUUGGUUCAGUUUAUAAAAUUUAGUAAUCUUAACAUAAAAGUAUAGUUUUUUUCAAAAUUACCCUUGUUGUGGUCAUUUGAAUAUUAUUUUUUGCGGAAAUGACGAAUGGAGGGAAGAAGAUCGUGAUGAUUACUUAGGAGGACGACGCAAUAGAAGAUGAUAGGUGUUCGUGCGAGAGAGAGAGAGAGAGAGAGAGAGAGAGAGAN
rnacentral:lncRNA from 1 species